UACGAAGGGGGCUAGCGUUGCUCGGAAUCACUGGGCGUAAAGCGCACGUAGGCGGACUCUUAAGUCGGGGGUGAAAUCCUGGAGCUCAACUCCAGAACUGCCUUCGAUACUGGGAGUCUUCGAGUUCGGGAGAGGUGAGUGGAACUGCGAGUGUAGAGGUGAAAUUCGUAGAUAUUCGCAAGAACACCAGUGGCGAAGGCGGCUCACUGGACCAUUACUGACGCUGAUGCACGAAAGCUAGGGGAGCAAACAGG
rnacentral:rRNA from 1 species